rnacentral:rRNA from 1 species
GAUGAACGCUGGCGGCGUGCCUAACACAUGCAAGUCGAGCGAACAGACGAGGAGCUUGCUCCUCUGACGUUAGCGGCGGACGGGUGAGUAACACGUGGAUAACCUACCUAUAAGACUGGGAUAACUUCGGGAAACCGGAGCUAAUACCGGAUAAUAUAUUGAACCGCAUGGUUCAAUAGUGAAAGACGGUUUUGCUGUCACUUAUAGAUGGAUCCGCGCCGCAUUAGCUAGUUGGUAAGGUAACGGCUUACCAAGGCAACGAUGCGUAGCCGACCUGAGAGGGUGAUCGGCCACACUGGAACUGAGACACGGUCCAGACUCCUACGGGAGGCAGCAGUAGGGAAUCUUCCGCAAUGGGCGAAAGCCUGACGGAGCAACGCCGCGUGAGUGAUGAAGGUCUUCGGAUCGUAAAACUCUGUUAUUAGGGAAGAACAAAUGUGUAAGUAACUAUGCACGUCUUGACGGUACCUAAUCAGAAAGCCACGGCUAACUACGUG